AUCUGGUUGGCUCAGUUGGUAGAGUAUAGGACUCUUAAUCUCAGGGUUGUGAGUUUAAUCCCCAUGUUAGGUA
rnacentral:tRNA from 1 species